ACAGUAUGCCUUUCUGGAUCUGUUAAAACUGAGAAAUACCAAAAAUAUGAAGACAAAAGAAAAACCAUUUAAUAACCAUCUAUACACAACAGGAAUAAUAUAUACCUUUUCUAUUAUUGAAAAUACAAUGACCAAGGUAAUACAAAUGGAACUAGGAGCCAGAGUGGUGCUUAGCUUCCAUUGACACCGUGGAAUAGCACUCCUUUAGUCGUCCCAGAUGCAUGACAUCCUGAAUGAUGUUAGAAGUAGCCACUGCAGCAGGGCGCGCCUUGACAAGAGGAGCACUGGGGGUGGAUGUGGAUGACAAUUUGUUCACAUUAAUUGUCACACCACCUUCUACAAUAGUACCAAGCCGGACCUGACCUCCACUUAAGACUCACAUCGCAUGGCUGUAUCGUAUUGUUAAAAACUACCAGGGACUGAAAAUUGUCAAGGGGGCGAGGAAUGCAGAAUUCGGGUAUUUUAAAAUAUUCGAAUUUUCCAAAAUUUGUAACUGGAGCAUAGGUUAGCAUUCUCUGAAUGAGCGUUAAAAAUGUAAAAAUCAUUCUUAUCUAGAUCUACAUCACUUUGUUCCAACUAGAUCUGGCAACUUAAUUAUUUUAUUUUUUCAUCUAUUGUGACGUCAUGUCAGUGUUCAUGUGACGUAGGCUAUGGAUUUAGUAAGCUCCACAGUAAAGUUAGGAUUUAUCUAACUUCAAGCCCGAUCCCAGCUAAAGUUUACGGCAAUCAAUGAAAAUGGUUUUUAGCUAUUUUUUAAACUGUUUUUGAAAAACCACCCUGUAAUAUUUCUUGAAAUGUUAAUUUAGUAAUGUAAAUGAUGAAUGAAACAUGUUUGCUGAAAUAGGAAUUUUAGACACCCUUUUCCAAUAUGCGUUUUUUUCAAGGUUUUUAACCUAGAGGGGGUCAUUGGUAGUGAUGUACCGAUUAUCGCCGACUUUCGAUUGUCGGUCGCUAUAACUGAAACGAUGUGAAUAAUCGAUUGCCAUUUUGAAAAUUGAAAAUCACCGACAUCUAAUUUUAAAAAAAAAUAAUACAAAUAUUCUUGCCGCGACUUAACUAAAAUCCAAAAUGGCUGACGAAGCUGAAUCAUCCUAUAAAAUUGAAUAUUGUUUUAAUGUCCCUCUUGAGAAUCUUUCACUCAUAUGGAGACAUCACCAUUGCCAGUGAAGGGCUGCAAAAUUUAGGCCUAUGCUCGGCGCUUACAGUCUUUGAGCAGGGAGGGAUCUUUAUCAAGCCACACCUGCUGUGACACGGCCUGGGACCUUGGAUUUUGCCUCUUACAACAAGCAAGGGGUAUUGAGGCUCUAUUCUAUACCGGAUCCCAUAAGAACAACAACAAAAGUCGAGAGAUCUAUUCCUAUUUCGGGAAAACAAAAUCGAAAAUAUGGAUUAACUUUAAAUUUCUAAUGAGUUUAGACGUCUCCAUAUGAGUGAAAAAUUCCCAAGAGAGAUGUUAAACAAGAUACAAUCAAUCAAAUGAUUUUAUUCUAAUUAACUUAAUAUUUAGGGUAAAAAAUAAAGUAAAUUUAAUAUAUUUAUGCCAUAAAUUUGAAAUGAAUAAAAUUCGAUUUUUUUUUUUAUUAAUCAGUCGAAAAAGUGCAUCCGAUUAAUCCGAUCAUCGAUUAAUAAUUUUUCCCCGAUUGCCCAUCACUAGUCAUUGGGCUCUCAAAUCAUCCGAUACUUUAUCUACUUCUUAUGUCAAAUGAUUGCUGGAGUGUAAAGGUAAAACAUAUUGAAAGGUUAAAAAAUCUGAAGGUUUUUGAAAACACAAUUUUCCGGAUAUGGUAGGCUAUGAUUAGUCAAAAUUUGACUAUUAUACAUGCAUUUUCAUCACCUUAAAACCAAGGACAUGGUUCAGUAGAUGAAAAAUUAUUGAAAACAGUCAAAUGCAAUACAUUUUCUUCAAUUCAUAUGAAAGAAACAUAUUUCUAUCGUUUAAAUAAAGACAGUGCCUUAAAAUGUAUGUAUAUUAACACUGCUUGUUUUAAAGUGAUGUGUUCUAUUUUUAGAAGUAGCUGUACUCUGCGAAAGGCCGCUAAACAUAUUUUUCUUCGGGAAUUUGGUCAAUAUACAUCCUCGACAAAAUUCAUGCAAAUUUUAAUAGAAAUCUGUAGGUUUUUCAAUACAAAGAUGUGGUAUGGUGAAUUGCCUUAAACAAAACUUUUACUAGUAUAUUUAACCUAUGUAAACCAAAACAUGGCACGAGCCUUGUUUACAUACAUGUAACAAAGAAUUGUGAGCUCUGUAUCCCUCAUGUACCUUGACAACUGACACUCAAAUUUUUUGCUGACCAUUGGUAAUACCUUCGUUAAGCAUUCUUAACAUUAAAAAUCAAAAAAUAUACGGUAAUGAGAAAAUUUUCAGUUCAAAUUGUGUCCAUGUUUCCAUGCCCCUUUAAUUGGUGCGUACUUGAGUAGUUGAAAAAUACCAUCAGUAACAGCUUGUAUUGCUUUAAAGAACAAUUUAUGGUAAACUUGGAGCUACAAUAUGUUAAAAACAAGAUGUGUUUGUGAAACACAAAUGCCCCCAUAAUGGCCAAUUCCGAAGAUGGCCAAGGUCACAAGGGCAAAUAUCUUAGUACCAGUAGAAAGAUCUUGUCAAAAGAAAUGCUCAUGUACAAUAUGAAAGCUCUAAUAUUUACCAUUUAGAAGUUAUGACCAAUGUAAAAAAAAAAAUUAAAGUAGGUCAAAUGUCAAAAGGUUCAAUACCAACGGAAAGAUCUUGUAACAAGGAAUACUCAUGUGAAAUAUCAAAGCUCUAUCUCUUACUGUUCAAAAGUUAUUAGCAAGGUUAAAGUUUUCAAAAAGUAGGUCAAACUCCAAGGUCAAGGGGUAAAAAAUGUUGGUACCCAAGGAAAGGUCUUGUCACAAGGAAUACUCAUGUGAAAUAUCAAAGCUCU